rnacentral:rRNA from 1 species
UACGGGAGGCAGCAGUGGGGAAUAUUGCACAAUGGGCGCAAGCCUGAUGCAGCCAUGCCGCGUGUAUGAAAAGGCCUUCGGGUUGUAAAGUACUUUCUAGUCGUGAGGAAGGUGUUAAGGUUAAUAACCUUAGCAAUUGACGUUAGCGACAGAAGAAGCACCGGCUAACUCCGUGCCAGCAGCCGCGGUAAUACGGAGGGUGCGAGCGUUAAUCGGAAUUACUGGGCGUAAAGGGCACGCAGGCGGUUAAUUAAGUUGGAUGUGAAAUCCCCGGGCUUAACCUGGGAAUGGCAUUCAAGACUGGUUAGCUAGAGUCUUGUAGAGGGGGUAGAAUUCCAUGUGUAGCGGUGAAAUGCGUAGAGAUGUGGAGGAAUACCGGUGGCGAAGGCGGCCCCUGGACAAAGACUGACGCUCAUGUGCGAAAGCGUGGGGAGCAAACAGGGAUUAGAUACC